AGCGAACGUUUGCGGCGGGCUUAACACAUGCAAGUCGAACGAGAAUCCCUUCGGGGAGGAAAGUGGCGCACGGGUGCGUAACACGUGGAUAACCAACCCAUUGGUUUGGGACAACACCGGGAAACUGGUGCUAAUACCAGAUGUGUCGCAGCUGUCUUCAGGCGGUUGCGAGAAAGGCCCGCAAGGGUCGCCAACGGACGGGUCCGCGUCCCAUCAGCUAGUUGGUGAGGUAAUGGCUCACCAAGGCAAAGACGGGUAGCUGGUCUGAGAGGAUGAUCAGCCACACUGGAACUGAGACACGGUCCAGACUCCUACGGGAGGCAGCAGUGGGGAAUAUUGCGCAAUGGGCGAAAGCCUGACGCAGCCACGCUGCGUGAGCGAUGAAGGUCUUCGGAUCGUAAAGCUCUGUGGGGGGAGAAGAAGAAAGCCGGUGAAGAGCCGGCCCUGACGGUAUCCCCUUAGCAAGCACCGGCUAACUCCGUGCCAGCAGCCGCGGUAA
rnacentral:rRNA from 1 species